AAGAUUUCAGACUCCUGUUUGAUGAGGUCACUGCCAACAAAUUCUUGGAGAGGUGGCCCAUCGAUCUCAAAUCAAAGAUUGUAAAGGAAAGUCAUGGACUUGUACCCACCUCGGAGCUCUUGGAGUUGAUGUGCAAUGCUGAGUCAGCUACUGAAGUUGAGAAUGGCUGGGACAGUGACAUGUCUGCUAUCUUGCUGCUGCUACAUCUGCUACCGCCAUCUGCACAAGGGUGAAAGAGACCAGGAAAGAUGUCUGCAUCUCAAGCUGUCGAUAACCUCAUCAAAUUCCUAAAGGCUGGAACCAGUGUACAGCAGCAUCUAGACAACAUCACCCGAAGCAGUCAGCCCUACCUUCUUGCUCAGGGACCCACAAGAAGCAGCAUCCACACCUUCUUCAUUGUGAUUGACAAGCAUGCACUUCCAUGUAAAGCGACAGGUUCAGUAGGAGCCCUUGAUGAACUCUUUAAGGCCCAUUAUGUCUUUGAUACGUCAUACAGUUCAUCCCUGACCAACUUUUUCACUUUUCUGCAAACAACCAUUUACAACAUUGAUGUUGGGGAAACAAAGGAAACUCCCAGAGUUGCGAGCAAGAAUGGUGCGUUAGUAUCCAUUGAGAUCAAAAUAAUGAAGUGCUUUCUUUGCAAAAGUGAUCAUGGUAGACCAAACAGCCUUGUAAAACACCUUAAGGUAAUUCAUGGUCUCUGUACUGGGAGGACACUAUAUCUCAAAUGUGGCCAAGUGGGAUGCUCACGUUCUUUUAGUAGUUUUUCUGGCUUUAGAAAGCACCUGAACAAAUGCCACGUAAGCAGUUCAUUUGAUUCUGCAGAACUAGAUUUUUCACCAGUUCAAAGUGUUACGGACACAAGUACUACUGCUAAUGUUGAUGUGGUGCCUGAACAUUUAGAGCAUAGGUGUCAAACUCUGGCCCGCGGGCCAGAUUUGGCC